rnacentral:tmRNA from 1 species
UUCGUCCGAAUUGGCCCAUAUAGAAGGCGUCGGUUUACCGACUAUGGCGAUAAACGCUUCACGAAAUAGGCGUAACGGACCCGGGGGCAGUGCCCGGCGCCUCCACCAACUCCUCCGUCAGCCCGCCUGGGAACAGGUAGGCAGGUUACGGACGGGAGAGACCCGAUGGGGGCGAAACAGGAUCGACGUGCGUAGUAAAGGUGUGGUUUUCGCCCGGCAUGGUACCACCGUAUCGGACCAAAUUUACAGGUGCCAAUGAUAAUGAAAUGGCCCUCGCUGCUUAAGUUUUCUUAGGCAAGCGCGGCUCGGGGGGCGCCGGGCAACAGAAGCCCCCCA